GAUGAACGCUAGCUACAGGCUUAACACAUGCAAGUCGCGGGGCAGCAUGGGGGUUGCUUGCAAUCCCCGAUGGCGACCGGCGCACGGGUGAGUAACGCGUAUCCAACCUGCCCUUCACCACGGGAUAACCCGGCGAAAGUCGGACUAAUACCGUAUGUUGUCCAUUGACGGCAUCCGAUUUGGACGAAAGGUUUGGCGGUGAAGGCUGGGGAUGCGUCCGAUUAGCUGGACGGCGGGGUGACGGCCCACCGUGGCGACGAUCGGUAGGGGUUCUGAGAGGAAGGUCCCCCACACUGGAACUGAGACACGGGCCAGACUCCUACGGGAGGCAGCAGUGAGGAAUAUUGGUCAAUGGGCGUAAGCCUGAACCAGCCAAGUAGCGUGCAGGAUGACGGCCCUAUGGGUUGUAAACUGCUUUUAUGCGGGGAUAAAGUGGCCCACGUGUGGGUUUUUGCAGGUACCGCAUGAAUAAGAACCGGCUAAUUCCGUG
rnacentral:rRNA from 1 species